rnacentral:rRNA from 1 species
UGGGGGAUAUUGCACAAUGGGCGAAAGCCUGAUGCAGCGACGCCGCGUGGGGGAUGAAGGCCUUCGGUUUGUAAACUUCUUUUGCUCUGAACAAGGCAUGCCUUUGGGGUGUGUUGAGUGUAGGGGUUGAUUAGCGCCGGCUAACUACGUGCCAGCAGCCGCGGUAAUACGUAGGGCGCGAGCGUUGUCCGGAAUUAUUGGGCGUAAAGGGCUUGUAGGUGGCUGGUUGCGUCUGUCGUGAAAGCUCAUGGCUUAACUGUGGGUUUGCGGUGGGUACGGGCUGGCUUGAGUGCAGUAGGGGAGGCUGGAAUUCCUGGUGUAGCGGUGGAAUGCGCAGAUAUCAGGAGGAAUACCGGUGGCGAAGGCGGGUCUCUGGGCUGUUACUGACGCUGAGGAGCGAAAGCGUGGGGAGCGAACAGG